GUAAGUCACACAGAUCUUAAAACGAUUCACAGAAGCACUGUGCUGGCAGUGGCGUAACCAGAAAUUAAUUUCACUAGGAUGA